CGUGUAGGUGGUUUAGCAAGUCAGAUGUGAAAGCCCUGGGCUUAACCCAGGAAGUGCAUUUGAAACUGUUAUUCUAGAGUAUGGGAGAGGAGAGUGGAAUUCCCAGUGUAGAGGUGAAAUUCGUAGAUAUUGGGAGGAACACCGGUGGCGAAGGCGACUCUCUGGACCAAUACUGACACUGAGACGCGAAAGCGUGGGGAGCAAACA
rnacentral:rRNA from 1 species